CAAAUCCAUCAUCUUCUACCCUGCAGGUGAUGUAUGACUGCUCUGAUGUCUUGGAGAGAAUCCUACCAAGCAGCACUCGCCUGGUUCGGAUUCCUGAACAACAAAAGCCAAAGACAGAUUCUUGAUGCCGGAGCCAACACUUCACAAAUUCCAGGCCCAGAUCUUUGGCAUAGCGCAGUUCCUGGUUAAACCCAGCACUGAAUCUUCCACACCGAAGGACCCAGCAUCCAGAAUGCUUGGGACCAGAAGCACUUCUGCUUUGGACUGGUUUUCUUCAGAGUUUGGAAUAUUUGCACAGAAAUAAUGAGCUAUCUUGGGGAUGAAGCUUAAGUCUAAAUAAGAAAUUAAAUACAAAAUUACUCUAUACUUC